CAGUCGCCGCGGUAAUACGGAGGGGGCUAGCGUUGUUCGGAAUUACUGGGCGUAAAGCGCACGUAGGCGGCUUUGUAAGUUAGAGGUGAAAGCCUGGAGCUCAACUCCAGAAUUGCCUUUAAGACUGCAUCGCUUGAAUCGCGGAGAGGUGAGUGGAAUUCCGAGUGUAGAGGUGAAAUUCGUAGAUAUUCAGAAGAACACCAGUGGCGAAGGCGGCUCACUGGACGCGUAUUGACGCUGAGGCGCGAAAGCUAGGGGAGCAAACAGGAUUAGAUACCCCAGUAGUCCCUGUCUCUUAUAC
rnacentral:rRNA from 1 species